rnacentral:snoRNA from 1 species
CCUGCCCUGCAGGUGCCAGGUGUGGCUGCCGUGUCCCGUGUGCGUAAGUGGGUGGCAGAGAAGAGAAAUAUUUCUGGGCUCAGUGUUUUAACCUAUGAACGUCUAAAUGAGUAGUAGUCUAA